UACGAAGGGGGCUAGCGUUGAUCGGAAUUACUGGGCGUAAAGCGCACGUAGGCGGCUUGUUAAGUCAGGGGUGAAAUCCUGGAGCUCAACUCCAGAACUGCCUUUGAUACUGGCGAGCUUGAGUUCGGGAGAGGUGAGUGGAACUGCGAGUGUAGAGGUGAAAUUCGUAGAUAUUCGCAAGAACGCCAGUGGCGAAGGCAGCUCGCUGGCCCGAUGCUGACGCUGAGGUGCGAAAGCGUGGGGAGCAAACAGG
rnacentral:rRNA from 1 species